ACGAAAAAUGAAUACCAAGUCUCAAGAGUGAACACGUAAUUCAUUACGAAGUUUAAUUCAUUGAGCAUCAAACUUUUAAAUUGAAGAGUUUGAUCAUGGCUCAGAUUGAACGCUGGCGGCAGGCCUAACACAUGCAAGUCGAACGGUAACAGGAAGCAGCUUGCUGCUUUGCUGACGAGUGGCGGACGGGNNNNNNNNNNNNNNNNNNNNGAGUAAUGUCUGGGAAACUGCCUGAUGGAGGGGGAUAACUACUGGAAACGGUGGCUAAUACCGCAUAACGUCGCAAGACCAAAGAGGGGGACCUUCGGGCCUCUUGCCAUCAGAUGUGCCCAGAUGGGAUUAGCUUGUUGGUGAGGUAACGGCUCACCAAGGCGACGAUCCCUAGCUGGUCUGAGAGGAUGACCAGCCACACUGGAACUGAGACACGGUCCAGACUCCUACGGGAGGCAGCAGUGGGGAAUAUUGCACAAUGGGCGCAAGCCUGAUGCAGCCAUGCCGCGUGUAUGAAGAAGGCCUUCGGGUUGUAAAGUACUUUCAGCGGGGAGGAAGGUGUUGUGGUUAAUAACCGCAGCAAUUGACGUUACCCGCAGAAGAAGCACCGGCUAACUCCGUGCCAGCAGCCGCGGUAAUACGGAGGGUGCAAGCGUUAAUCGGAAUUACUGGGCGUAAAGCGCACGCAGGCGGUCUGUCAAGUCGGAUGUGAAAUCCCCGGGCUCAACCUGGGAACUGCAUUCGAAACUGGCAGGCUUGAGUCUUGUAGAGGGGGGUAGAAUUCCAGGUGUAGCGGUGAAAUGCGUAGAGAUCUGGAGGAAUACCGGUGGCGAAGGCGGCCCCCUGGACAAAGACUGACGCUCAGGUGCGAAAGCGUGGGGAGCAAACAGGAUUAGAUACCCUGGUAGUCCACGCCGUAAACGAUGUCUACUUGGAGGUUGUGCCCUUGAGGCGUGGCUUCCGGAGCUAACGCGUUAAGUAGACCGCCUGGGGAGUACGGCCGCAAGGUUAAAACUCAAAUGAAUUGACGGGGGCCCGCACAAGCGGUGGAGCAUGUGGUUUAAUUCGAUGCAACGCGAAGAACCUUACCUGGUCUUGACAUCCACGGAAGUUUUCAGAGAUGAGAAUGUGCCUUCGGGAACCGUGAGACAGGUGCUGCAUGGCUGUCGUCAGCUCGUGUUGUGAAAUGUUGGGUUAAGUCCCGCAACGAGCGCAACCCUUAUCCUUUGUUGCCAGCGGUCCGGCCGGGAACUCAAAGGAGACUGCCAGUGAUAAACUGGAGGAAGGUGGGGAUGACGUCAAGUCAUCAUGGCCCUUACGACCAGGGCUACACACGUGCUACAAUGGCGCAUACAAAGAGAAGCGACCUCGCGAGAGCAAGCGGACCUCAUAAAGUGCGUCGUAGUCCGGAUUGGAGUCUGCAACUCGACUCCAUGAAGUCGGAAUCGCUAGUAAUCGUGGAUCAGAAUGCCACGGUGAAUACGUUCCCGGGCCUUGUACACACCGCCCGUCACACCAUGGGAGUGGGUUGCAAAAGAAGUAGGUAGCUUAACCUUCGGGAGGGCGCUUACCACUUUGUGAUUCAUGACUGGGGUGAAGUCGUAACAAGGUAACCGUAGGGGAACCUGCGGUUGGAUCACCUCCUUACCUUAAAGAANNNNNNNNNNNNNNNNNNNNAGUGCUCACACAGAUUGUCUGAUGAAAA
rnacentral:rRNA from 1 species